GAUGAACGCUGGCGGCGUGCCUAAUACAUGCAAGUCGAGCGAACAGACGAGGAGCUUGCUCCUCUGACGUUAGCGGCGGACGGGUGAGUAACACGUGGAUAACCUACCUAUAAGACUGGGAUAACUUCGGGAAACCGGAGCUAAUACCGGAUAAUAUAUUGAACCGCAUGGUUCAAUAGUGAAAGACGGUUUUGCUGUCACUUAUAGAUGGAUCCGCGCCGCAUUAGCUAGUUGGUAAGGUAACGGCUUACCAAGGCGACGAUGCGUAGCCGACCUGAGAGGGUGAUCGGCCACACUGGAACUGAGACACGGUCCAGACUCCUACGGGAGGCAGCAGUAGGGAAUCUUCCGCAAUGGGCGAAAGCCUGACGGAGCAACGCCGCGUGAGUGAUGAAGGUCUUCGGAUCGUUAAACUCUGUUAUUAGGGAAGAACAAAUGUGUAAGUAACUAUGCACGUCUUGACGGUACCUAAUCAGAAAGCCACGGCUAACUACGUG
rnacentral:rRNA from 1 species